UACGUAGGGUGCGAGCGUUAUUCGGAAUUACUGGGCGUAAAGCGUGCGUAGGCGGUUGGCUAAGUCAGACGUGAAAGCCCCGGGCUUAACCUGGGAAUUGCGGUUGAAACUAGUCGACUAGAAUCUGGCAGAGGGGGGUGGAAUUCCACGUGUAGCAGUGAAAUGCGUAGAGAUGUGGAGGAACACCGAUGGCGAAGGCAGCCCCCUGGGCUGACACUGACGCUGAGGCACGAAAGCGUGGGGAGCAAACAGG
rnacentral:rRNA from 1 species